rnacentral:rRNA from 1 species
CCUACGGGCGGCAGCAGUAGGGAAUUUUGCGCAAUGGGCGAAAGCCUGACGCAGCAACGCCGCGUGAUUGAUUAAGCCCUUCGGGGUGUAAAGAUCUGUCAGUGGGGACGAAACUUGACGGUACCCACAGAGGAAGCACCGGCUAACUCCGUGCCAGCAGCCGCGGUAAUAGUGAGGAUGCGAGCGUUAUCCGGAUUUAUUGGGUUUAAGGGGUGCGUAGGCGGAAUGCCAAGUCAGCGGUAAAAUCGCGGGGCUCAACCUCGCUCCGCCGUUGACACUGGCGUUCUUGAGUGGGCGAGAAGUAUGCGGAAUGCGUGGUGUAGCGGUGAAAUGCAUAGAUAUCACGCAGAACUCCGAUUGCGAAGGCAGCAUACCGGCGCCCAACUGACGCUGAAGCACGAAAGCGUGGGUAUCGAACAGGAUUAGAUACCCGGGUAGUC